rnacentral:tRNA from 1 species
GCUGGUUUCCCAUAGUGGCGAUUGGAAUUGCCUUGUAAGCAAUUGAUGAAUAAUCCAUCAGGGGUUCGAGUCCCUUAACCAGCU